rnacentral:lncRNA from 1 species
UGAUGUUAGCCACAAUGUGAUUAAACUGAUCCACAGUAACAUCCUGCUCUACGUAUGCUUGUUCAAGAACUCUCUGUAGUGCUUCUCUGUGUGCUUCGGAAUUCAAAAGUAGAGACAACACGGAGAUUUUUGAGGGAGUCUGGAGCAGUUGCUCAACCAUAUUAAAUUCGCUCCUCUUUAUUAAUCGAAGUACCUCAUCAUCAUCAUUGGCUUUCAAGUUGCUGGAUUCACCAAACUUAUCUUUUGAAUAACCAACCGGAUCUACAUU